GAUGAACGCUGGCGGUAUGCUUAACACAUGCAAGUCGAACGGACUCUUCGGAGUUAGUGGCGGACGGGUGAGUAACGCGUGAGAAUCUGGCUUUGGGUUCGGGACAACCACUGGAAACGGUGGCUAAUACCGGAUGUGCCGAGAGGUAAAAGAGAAAUUGCCUGAAGAUGAGCUCGCGUCUGAUUAGCUAGUUGGUGAGGUAAAGGCUCACCAAGGCAGCGAUCAGUAGCUGGUCUGAGAGGAUGACCAGCCACACUGGGACUGAGACACGGCCCAGACUCCUACGGGAGGCAGCAGUGGGGAAUUUUCCGCAAUGGGCGAAAGCCUGACGGAGCAAUACCGCGUGAGGGAAGAAGGCUCUUGGGUUGUAAACCUCUUUUCGUAGGGAAGAACAAAAUGACGGUACCUAAGGAAUCAGCAUCGGCUAACUCCGUG
rnacentral:rRNA from 1 species